GGCGCUUUGGCUGAGUGGUUAUAGCGAUAGACUAGAACUUAUUAUUCAUCUAUUUCCUUCGGGAGCGCAGGUUCAAAUCCUGCAGGCGUCG